rnacentral:rRNA from 1 species
AUUGAGCGCUGGCGGCAGGCCUAACACAUGCAAGUCGAGCGGAUGAAGGGAGCUUGCUCCUGGAUUCAGCGGCGGACGGGUGAGUAAUGCCUAGGAAUCUGCCUGGUAGUGGGGGAUAACGUCCAGAAACGGGCGCUAAUACCGCAUACGUCCUGAGGGAGAAAGUGGGGGAUCUUCGGACCUCACGCUAUCAGAUGAGCCUAGGUCGGAUUAGCUAGUUGGUGGGGUAAAGGCCUACCAAGGCGACGAUCCGUAACUGGUCUGAGAGGAUGAUCAGUCACACUGGAACUGAGACACGGUCCAGACUCCUACGGGAGGCAGCAGUGGGGAAUAUUGGACAAUGGGCGAAAGCCUGAUCCAGCCAUGCCGCGUGUGUGAAGAAGGUCUUCGGAUUGUAAAGCACUUUAAGUUGGGAGGAAGGGCAGUAAGUUAAUACCUUGCUGUUUUGACGUUACCAACAGAAUAAGCACCGGCUAACUUCGUG